AUUGAACGCUGGCGGCAGGCCUAACACAUGCAAGUCGAGCGAGCGGCGGACGGGUGAGUAAUGUCUGGGAAACUGCCUGAUGGAGGGGGAUAACUACUGGAAACGGUAGCUAAUACCGCAUACCAUCAGAUGUGCCCAGAUGGGAUUAGCUCGUAGGUGGGGGAACGGCUCACCUAGGCGACGAUCCCUAGCUGGGCUGAGAGGAUGACCCGCCACACUGGAACUGAGACACGGUCUAGACUCCUACGGGAGGUAGAAGUGGGGAAUAUUGCACAAUGGGCGAAAGCCUGAUGCAGACAUGCCGCGGGUGUGAAGAAGGCCUUAGGGUUGUAAAGCACUUUCAGCGGGGAGGCGUUACCCGCAGAAGAAGCACCGGCUAACGCCGGGCCAGCAGCCGCGGUAAUUC
rnacentral:rRNA from 1 species